rnacentral:rRNA from 1 species
GGUUAAGUGAAUAAGGGCGCACGGUGGAUGCCUUGGCACUAGGAGCCGAUGAAGGACGGGACUAACACCGAUAUGCUUCGGGGAGCUGUAAGUAAGCUUUGAUCCGGAGAUUUCCGAAUGGGGGAACCCAGCAUCUUUUAUAGGAUGUUACUUUUCAGUGAAUACAUAGCUGAUUAGAGGUAGACGCAGAGAACUGAAACAUCUAAGUACCUGCAGGAAGAGAAAGAAAAAUCGAUUCCCUGAGUAGCGGCGAGCGAAACGGGAAAAGCCCAAACCAAGAGGCUUGCCUCUUGGGGUUGUAGGACUCCGAUAUGGUAGUCCAGUGAGAUAGUCGAAGGACCUGGAAAGGUCUGCUAGAAAGGGUAAAAGCCCCGUAGACAAAAUUUGACUGGCACCUAGGAGGAUCCUGAGUACGGCGGAACACGAGGAAUUCCGUCGGAAUCCGGGAGGACCAUCUCCCAAGGCUAAAUACUCCCUAGUGACCGAUAGUGAACCAGUACCGUGAGGGAAAGGUGAAAAGCACCCCGGAAGGGGAGUGAAAUAGAUCCUGAAACCGUGUGCCUACAACAAGUUAGAGCCCGUUAAUGGGUGAUAGCGUGCCUUUUGUAGAAUGAACCGGCGAGUUACGAUUACUUGCGAGGUUAAGUUGAAAAGACGGAGCCGCAGCGAAAGCGAGUCUGAAUAGGGCGAAUGAGUAAGUGGUCGUAGACCCGAAACCAUGUGAUCUACCCAUGUCCAGGUUGAAGGUGCGGUAAAACGCACUGGAGGACCGAACCCACGUACGUUGAAAAGUGCGGGGAUGAGGUGUGGGUAGCGGAGAAAUUCCAAACGAACUUGGAGAUAGCUGGUUCUCUCCGAAAUAGCUUUAGGGCUAGCCUCAGAGUAAGAAUGAUGGAGGUAGAGCACUGUUUGGACUAGGGGCCCAUCUCGGGUUACCGAAUUCAGAUAAACUCCGAAUGCCAUCCAUUCAUCUCUGGGAGUCAGACUGUGAGUGAUAAGAUCCAUAGUCGAAAGGGAAACAGCCCAGACCACCAGCUAAGGUCCCCAAAUAACUAUUAAGUGGAAAAGGAUGUGGGGUUGCACAGACAACUAGGAUGUUGGCUUAGAAGCAGCCACCAUUUAAAGAGUGCGUAAUAGCUCACUAGUCGAGUGACCCUGCGCCGAAAAUGUACCGGGGCUAAAUAGUUUACCGAAGCUGUGGAACACACCAAUAGGUGUGUUGGUAGGAGAGCGUUCUAAGGGCGUUGAAGGUAGAUCGUGAGGACUGCUGGAGCGCUUAGAAGUGAGAAUGCCGGUAUGAGUAGCGAAAGACAGGUGAGAAUCCUGUCCACCGAAUGACUAAGGUUUCCUGGGGAAGGCUCGUCCGCCCAGGGUUAGUCGGGACCUAAGCCGAGGCCGAUAGGCGUAGGCGAUGGAUAACAGGUUGAUAUUCCUGUACCCGUUGUUUUUGUUUGAGCAAUGGAGGGACGCAGGAGGCUAAGGAAUCAGACGAUUGGAAAUGUCUGUCCAAGCAAUAAGUCUUGAUGUGAGUCAAAUGCUUACGUCUUUAAGGACAAGUUGUGAUGGGGAGGGAAAUAAUAGUACCGAAGUUCCUGAUGUCACACUGCCGAGAAAAGCUUCUAGUGAGAAAACAAUGGCCCGUACCGCAAACCGACACAGGUAGUCGAGGAGAGAAUCCUAAGGUGAGCGAGAGAACUCUCGUUAAGGAACUCGGCAAAAUGACCCCGUAACUUCGGGAGAAGGGGUGCUGAUCUAACGAUCAGCCGCAGUGAAUAGGCCCAAGCGACUGUUUAUCAAAAACACAGGUCUCUGCAAAAUCGAAAGAUGACGUAUAGGGGCUGACGCCUGCCCGGUGCUGGAAGGUUAAGAGGAGUGCUUAGCG